rnacentral:tRNA from 2 species
GUUUCCAUGGUGCAGUGGUCAGCACUUUCGCCUUACACGCGAAAGGUCCCUGGUUCAAACCCAGGUGGAAACA